AGAGUUUGAUCCUGGCUCAGAGUGAACGCUGGCGGCAGGCCUAACACAUGCAAGUCGAACGGCAGCACAGCAGUAGCAAUACUGUGGGUGGCGAGUGGCGGACGGGUGAGGAAUGCGUCGGAAUCUGCCUUUUUGUGGGGGAUAACGUAGGGAAACUUACGCUAAUACCGCAUACGACCUACGGGUGAAAGUGGGGGACCUUCGGGCCUCACGCAGAAAGAUGAGCCGACGCCGGAUUAGCUAGUUGGCGGGGUAAAGGCCCACCAAGGCGACGAUCCGUAGCUGGUCUGAGAGGAUGAUCAGCCACACUGGGACUGAGACACGGCCCAGACUCCUACGGGAGGCAGCAGUGGGGAAUUUUGCACAAUGGGCGAAAGCCUGAUGCAGCAACGCCGCGUGUGUGAUGAAGGUCUUCGGAUCGUAAAGCACUUUCGACCGGGACGAACAACCUCUGGCUAACAGUCAGGGGCCUGACGUACCGGAG
rnacentral:rRNA from 1 species